ACACAACACAAACUCUUACAGAUGCUACCAGAAGAAAACUGGUUAAUAUAAUAGUGGCCCACAUGUUUGAUAAAUACGGUUAAAUGUGUUGUAUUUGUGUACACUCUUUCAAAAAAAAAAAGAAAAACAAGUAACUGCUUAGCCAUUAUAUAAAUAAUGCCAAUUUAAUCUCUCUUCUCAGGCACCUCCCCACCAAAGCUGUUAGAGAAGAGUACGCUCUUGGGAUAGUGACAGUGUUCCCGUCCCUCAAAGACCCACACUCCAAGAAAGGCUACGAACACUUCUAUGAUGCUGCAAGCAGCACAGGAUACAUUUCUUGGCGUCUGAAGACAAUCCAGAGAAAGAUUCGACGAGGAUCUGCACCUCCAAAUAGCUGCACUGGCUUUUCUCGAGGAGGAGGGGGCCCUAAUUUCCAAAGAUCCAUUGUUGUUGAGAAGCAGCUUUACGGAGAUGCUUGCCAGGAGGCCAUCUCUUUGCUCAACCAUACAACAGACACUUCCUUAAUUCUCCAAAAGAUGAGAGAGACCUUUCAGUAUCGUCAGAACCUUAUCAAUGACCCUGACAAAAGUCUUGAUAUCCUGUCUAUCUUUCCAAGAUUCCUGGAUACAAAAGG